rnacentral:rRNA from 1 species
GACGAACGCUGGCGGCGUGCUUAACACAUGCAAGUCGAACGGAAAGGCCCUGCUUUUGUGGGUUGCUCGAGUGGCGAACGGGUGAGUAACACGUGAGUAACCUGCCCUUGACUUUGGGAUAACUUCAGGAAACUGGGGCUAAUACCGGAUAGGAGCUCCUGCUGCAUGGUGGGGGUUGGAAAGUUUCGGCGGUUGGGGAUGGACUCGCGGCUUAUCAGCUUGUUGGUGGGGUAGUGGCUUACCAAGGCUUUGACGGGUAGCCGGCCUGAGAGGGUGACCGGCCACAAUGGGACUGAGAGACGGCCCAGACUCCUACGGGAGGCAGCAGUGGGGAAUAUUGCACAAUGGGCGGAAGCCUGAUGCAGCAACGCCGCGUGCGGGAUGACGGCCUUCGGGUGGUAAACCGCUGUCGCCUGUGACGAAGCGUGAGUGACGGUAAUGGGUAAAGAAGCAACGGCUAACUACGUG